rnacentral:rRNA from 1 species
GAGUUUGAUCCUGGCUCAGAACGAACGCUGGCGGCAGGCCUAACACAUGCAAGUCGAGCGCACCUUCGGGUGAGCGGCGGACGGGUUAGUAACGCGUGGGAAUAUACCCUUUUCUACGGAAUAGCCUCGGGAAACCGAGAGUAAUACCGUAUACGCCCUUCGGGGGAAAGAUUUAUCGGAGAAGGAUUAGCCCGCGUUGGAUUAGGUAGUUGGUGGGGUAAAAGCCUACCAAGCCGACGAUCCAUAGCUGGUUUGAGAGGAUGAUCAGCAACACUGGGACUGAGACGCGGCCCAGACUCCUACGGGAGGCAGCAGUGGGGAAUCUUAGACAAUGGGGGAAACCCUGAUCUAGCCAUGCCGCGUGAGUGACGAAGGCCUUAGGGUCGUAAAGCUCUUUCGCCAGGGAAGAUAAUGACGGUACCUGGUAAAGAAACCCCGGCUAACUCCGUGCCAGCAGCCGCGGUAAUA